GGUUAAGCGACUAAGCGUACACGGUGGAUGCCCUGGCAGUCAGAGGCGAUGAAGGACGUGCUAAUCUGCGAAAAGCGUCGGUAAGGUGAUAUGAACCGUUAUAACCGGCGAUGUCCGAAUGGGGAAACCCAGUGCAAUUCGUUGCACUAUCGUUAACUGAAUACAUAGGUUAACGAGGCGAACCGGGGGAACUGAAACAUCUAAGUACCCCGAGGAAAAGAAAUCAACCGAGAUUCCCCCAGUAGCGGCGAGCGAACGGGGAGCAGCCCAGAGUCUGAAUCAGCUUGUGUGUUAGUGGAACGGUCUGGAAAGUCCGACGGUACAGGGUGAUAGUCCCGUACACCAAAAUGCACAGGUUGUGAACUCGAAGAGUAGGGCGGGACACGUGGUAUCCUGUCUGAAUAUGGGGGGACCAUCCUCCAAGGCUAAAUACUCCUGACUGACCGAUAGUGAACCAGUACCGUGAGGGAAAGGCGAAAAGAACCCCGGCGAGGGGAGUGAAAAAGAACCUGAAACCGUGUACGUACAAGCAGUGGGAGCACCUUCGGGUGUGACUGCGUACCUUUUGUAUAAUGGGUCAGCGACUUAUAUUCUGUAGCAAGGUUAACCGUAUAGGGGAGCCGCAGGGAAACCGAGUCUUAACUGGGCGUUAAGUUGCAGGGUAUAGACCCGAAACCCGGUGAUCUAGCCAUGGGCAGGUUGAAGGUUGGGUAACACUAACUGGAGGACCGAACCGACUAAUGUUGAAAAAUUAGCGGAUGACUUGUGGCUGGGGGUGAAAGGCCAAUCAAACCGGGAGAUAGCUGGUUCUCCCCGAAAGCUAUUUAGGUAGCGCCUCGUGAAUUCAUCUUCGGGGGUAGAGCACUGUUUCGGCUAGGGGGUCAUCCCGACUUACCAACCCGAUGCAAACUACGAAUACCGAAGAAUGUUAUCACGGGAGACACACGGCGGGUGCUAACGUCCGUCGUGAAGAGGGAAACAACCCAGACCGCCAGCUAAGGUCCCAAAGUCAUGGUUAAGUGGGAAACGAUGUGGGAAGGCACAGACAGCCAGGAUGUUGGCUUAGAAGCAGCCAUCAUUUAAAGAAAGCGUAAUAGCUCACUGGUCGAGUCGGCCUGCGCGGAAGAUGUAACGGGGCUAAACCAUGCACCGAAGCUGCGGCAGCGACACUAUGUGUUGUUGGGUAGGGGAGCGUUCUGUAAGCCUGCGAAGGUGACCUGUGAGGGUUGCUGGAGGUAUCAGAAGUGCGAAUGCUGACAUAAGUAACGAUAAAGCGGGUGAAAAGCCCGCUCGCCGGAAGACCAAGGGUUCCUGUCCAACGUUAAUCGGGGCAGGGUGAGUCGACCCCUAAGGCGAGGCCGAAAGGCGUAGUCGAUGGGAAACAGGUUAAUAUUCCUGUACUUGGUGUUACUGCGAAGGGGGGACGGAGAAGGCUAUGUUAGCCGGGCGACGGUUGUCCCGGUUUAAGCAUGUAGGCUGGUUGUCCAGGCAAAUCCGGAUAAUCAAGGCUGAGGUGUGAUGACGAGGCACUACGGUGCUGAAGUAACAAAUGCCCUGCUUCCAGGAAAAGCCUCUAAGCAUCAGGUAACAUCAAAUCGUACCCCAAACCGACACAGGUGGUCAGGUAGAGAAUACCAAGGCGCUUGAGAGAACUCGGGUGAAGGAACUAGGCAAAAUGGUGCCGUAACUUCGGGAGAAGGCACGCUGGUGUGUAGGUGAAGCCCCUGCGGGUGGAGCUGAGACCAGUCGAAGAUACCAGCUGGCUGCAACUGUUUAUUAAAAACACAGCACUGUGCAAACACGAAAGUGGACGUAUACGGUGUGACGCCUGCCCGGUGCCGGAAGGUUAAUUGAUGGGGUUAUCCGUAAGGAGAAGCUCUUGAUCGAAGCCCCGGUAAACGGCGGCCGUAACUAUAACGGUCCUAAGGUAGCGAAAUUCCUUGUCGGGUAAGUUCCGACCUGCACGAAUGGCGUAAUGAUGGCCAGGCUGUCUCCACCCGAGACUCAGUGAAAUUGAACUCGCUGUGAAGAUGCAGUGUACCCGCGGCAAGACGGAAAGACCCCGUGAACCUUUACUAUAGCUUGACACUGAACAUUGAGCCUUGAUGUGUAGGAUAGGUGGGAGGCUUUGAAGCGUGGACGCCAGUCUGCGUGGAGCCAACCUUGAAAUACCACCCUUUAAUGUUUGAUGUUCUAACGUUGGCCCCUUACCGGGGUUGCGGACAGUGUCUGGUGGGUAGUUUGACUGGGGCGGUCUCCUCCCAAAGCGUAACGGAGGAGCACGAAGGUUAGCUAAUCCUGGUCGGACAUCAGGAGGUUAGUGCAAUGGCAUAAGCUAGCUUGACUGCGAGCGUGACGGCGCGAGCAGGUGCGAAAGCAGGUCAUAGUGAUCCGGUGGUUCUGAAUGGAAGGGCCAUCGCUCAACGGAUAAAAGGUACUCCGGGGAUAACAGGCUGAUACCGCCCAAGAGUUCAUAUCGACGGCGGUGUUUGGCACCUCGAUGUCGGCUCAUCACAUCCUGGGGCUGAAGUAGGUCCCAAGGGUAUGGCUGUUCGCCAUUUAAAGUGGUACGCGAGCUGGGUUUAGAACGUCGUGAGACAGUUCGGUCCCUAUCUGCCGUGGGCGCUGGAGAAUUGAGGGGGGCUGCUCCUAGUACGAGAGGACCGGAGUGGACGCAUCACUGGUGUUCGGGUUGUCAUGCCAAUGGCACUGCCCGGUAGCUAAAUGCGGAAGAGAUAAGUGCUGAAAGCAUCUAAGCACGAAACUUGCCCCGAGAUGAGUUCUCCCUGAGACUUUAAGUCUCCUGAAGGAACGUUAAAGACGAUGACGUUGAUAGGCCGGGUGUGUAAGCGCAGCGAUGCGUUGAGCUAACCGGUACUAAUGAACCGUGAGGCUUAACCUU
rnacentral:rRNA from 1 species